CGUAAACGGUGGGCGCUAGUUGUGGGAACCUUCCACGGUUUCUGCGACGCAGCUAACGCAUAAGCGCCCCGCCUGGGGAGUACGAUCGCAAGAUUAAAACUCAAAGGAAUUGACGGGGCCCCGCACAAGCAGCGGAGCAUGCGGCUUAAUUCGACGCAACGCGAAGAACCUUACCAAGGCUUGACAUAUACCGAAAAGCAGCAGAGAUGUUGUGUCCGCAAGGGCGGUAUACAGGUGGUGCAUGGUUGUCGUCAGCUCGUGUCGUGAGAUGUCGGGUUAAGUCCCGCAACGAGCGCAACCCUCGUUCUGUGUUGCCAGCAUUUAGUUGGGGACUCACAGGAGACUGCCGUGGUCAACACGGAGGAAGGUGGGGAUGACGUCAAAUCAUCAUGCCCCUUAUGUCUUGGGCUGCACGCAUGCUACAAUGGCAGGUACAAAGGGCUGCAAUACCGUAAGGUGGAGCGAAUCCCAAAAAGUCUGUCUCAGUUCGGAUUGAGGUCUGCAACUCGACCUCAUGAAGUCGGAGUUGCUAGUAAUCGUAGAUCAGCAACGCUACGGUGAAUACGUUCCCGGGGCUUGUACACACCGCCCGUCACGUCACGAAAGUCGGUAACACCCAAAGUCAGUGGCCCAACCGCAAGGAGGGAGCUGCCUAAGGUGGGAUCGGUGAUUGGGACGAAGUCGUAACAAGGUAGCCAAUCACU
rnacentral:rRNA from 1 species